UACGAAGGGGGCUAGCGUUGCUCGGAAUUACUGGGCGUAAAGGGCGCGUAGGUGGCACUGUUAGUCAGGCGUGAAAGUCCUGGGCUCAACCUGGGAACUGCGCUUGAUACGGCAGAGCUAGAGGAUGGAAGAGGCUCGCGGAAUUCCCAGUGUAGAGGUGAAAUUCGUAGAUAUUGGGAAGAACACCGGUGGCGAAGGCGGCGAGCUGGUCCAUUACUGACGCUGAGGCGCGACAGCGUGGGGAGCAAACAGG
rnacentral:rRNA from 1 species